GAUGAACGCUGGCGGCGUGCCUAAUACAUGCAAGUCGAGCGAACAGAUAAGGAGCUUGCUCCUUUGACGUUAGCGGCGGACGGGUGAGUUACACGUGGAUAACCUACCUAUAAGACUGGGAUAACUUCGGGAAACCGGAGCUAAUACCGGAUAACAUAUUGAACCGCAUGGUUCAAUAGUGAAAGGCGGCUUUGCUGUCACUUAUAGAUGGAUCCGCGCCGUAUUAGCUAGUUGGUAAGGUAACGGCUUACCAAGGCAACGAUACGUAGCCGACCUGAGAGGGUGAUCGGCCACACUGGAACUGAGACACGGUCAAGACUCCUACGGGAGGCAGCAGUAGGGAAUCUUCCGCAAUGGGCGAAAGCCUGACGGAGCAACGCCGCGUGAGUGAUGAAGGUCUUCGGAUCGUAAAACUCUGUUAUCAGGGAAGAACAAAUGUGUAAGUAACUGUGCACAUCUUGACGGUACCUGAUCAGAAAGCCACGGCUAACUACGUG
rnacentral:rRNA from 1 species